rnacentral:rRNA from 1 species
GACGAACGCUGGCGGCGUGCCUAAUACAUGCAAGUUGAGCGCUGAAGGUUGGUACUUGUACCAACUGGAUGAGCAGCGAACGGGUGAGUAACGCGUGGGGAAUCUGCCUUUGAGCGGGGGACAACAUUUGGAAAUGAAUGCUAAUACCGCAUAAAAACUUUAAACACAAGUUUUAAGUUUGAAAGAUGCAAUUGCAUCACUCAAAGAUGAUCCCGCGUUGUAUUAGCUAGUUGGUGAGGUAAAGGCUCACCAAGGCGAUGAUACAUAGCCGACCUGAGAGGGGGAUCGGCCACAUUGGGACUGAGACACGGCCCAAACUCCUACGGGAGGCAGCAGUAGGGAAUCUUCGGCAAUGGACGAAAGUCUGACCGAGCAACGCCGCGUGAGUGAAGAAGGUUUUCGGAUCGUAAAACUCUGUUGGUAGAGAAGAACGUUGGUGAGAGUGGAAAGCUCAUCAAGUGACGGUAACUACCCAGAAAGGGACGGCUAACUACGUG